rnacentral:rRNA from 1 species
GGGGAAUAUUGGACAAUGGGGGCAACCCUGAUCCAGCAAUGCCGCGUGUGUGAAGAAGGUCUUCGGAUUGUAAAGCACUUUCGACGGGGACGAUGAUGACGGUACCCGUAGAAGAAGCCCCGGCUAACUUCGUGCCAGCAGCCGCGGUAAUACGAAGGGGGCUAGCGUUGCUCGGAAUGACUGGGCGUAAAGGGCGUGUAGGCGGUUUACACAGUCAGAUGUGAAAUCCCCGGGCUUAACCUGGGAGCUGCAUUUGAUACGUGUAGACUAGAGUGUGAGAGAGGGUUGUGGAAUUCCCAGUGUAGAGGUGAAAUUCGUAGAUAUUGGGAAGAACACCGGUGGCGAAGGCGGCAACCUGGCUCAUGACUGACGCUGAGGCGCGAAAGCGUGGGGAGCAAACAGGAUUAGAUACCCUGGUAGUCCACGCUGUAAACGAUGUGUGCUAGAUGUUGGGUAACUUUGUUA